AACGAACGCUGGCGGCAGGCCUAACACAUGCAAGUCGAGCGAGGACUUCGGUUCUAGCGGCGGACGGGUGAGUAACGCGUGGGAAUGUGCCCUUCUCUACGGAAUAGCCCUGGGAAACUGGGAGUAAUACCGUAUACGCCCUUUUGGGGAAAGAUUUAUCGGAGAAGGAUCAGCCCGCGUUGGAUUAGGUAGUUGGUGGGGUAAUGGCCUACCAAGCCGACGAUCCAUAGCUGGUUUGAGAGGAUGAUCAGCCACACUGGGACUGAGACACGGCCCAGACUCCUACGGGAGGCAGCAGUGGGGAAUCUUAGACAAUGGGGGCAACCCUGAUCGAGCCAUGCCGCGUGAGUGAUGAAGGCCUUAGGGUUGUAAAGCUCUUUAAGCUGGGAAGAUAAUGACGGUACCAGCAGAAGAAGCCCCGGCUAACUCCGUG
rnacentral:rRNA from 1 species